AAGAUGAGAUUUCCCAUAACUUUAUGUUAGUAAGAGCCCUGAGAGAUGAUCAGGUAGAUAGGUUGGAAGUGGAAGUGUGGCGACACAUGUAGCGGACCAAUACUAAUCGCUCGAGGACUUAUCCAAA
rnacentral:rRNA from 1 species